GGAAGUAAAAGCGACAAGGUUUCCGUAGGUGAACCUGCGGAAGGAUCAUUCAUAAUAAGUGUUUUACUGCACUUUUUAAAAAUAGUACUCACCUUGUGUGCAAUGUUGUGUUUCUUUUCGGAGAAACACCUACACCAACCUAUAACCUUGAACCACUUUGUCUGAAAAACUAUUAUGAAUACUUAAUUCAAAAUACAACUUUCAACAACGGAUCUCUUGGCUCUC
rnacentral:misc_RNA from 1 species